rnacentral:piRNA from 1 species
UCCACUGUCUUCCUGUGACCUCAUUUG